rfam:Gossypium raimondii chromosome 9, whole genome shotgun sequence.
AAUCCAUGCAUCAGACAUUUUUGAAUUAAAUCUUUAAAUCGUUCCUAAGCUUCAUAUAAUGUUUCAUUUUCCAAUUAACGAAAAGAUGUGAUGUUAUUUCUAAGCUU